GGAGGCGGUGCCGGAGCAGAGAGCCAGUGCUGGCUAGGCGCGGGCUGCAGAGUGACGGGAUGUGUCGGUGUCGGGGCGCAAGGCUGGCGGGACUGGCCACGGUGCUCCUGGUGGCUGUGGGCAGAGCGCAGGUGCAGCAGGACCCUUCGGCAGAGACCAUCGAGGCCAUCGCCAUCAGCAUCAACUGCUCACAUCCCAACAUAAAGACAAACGACUACAUCUACUGGUAUCGUCAGCUCCUGGACCGAGGUCCCGAACUCCUCGUGUGGGGUACUAAAGGCUCCAGACCUCUGUCGGACCCGCCAGGACGGUUGUCGGUGGCGGCAGACCGCCGGUCCAGCGCCCUGUGGCUCGAACGGCCCCGGCGCGGGGACGCGGCGGUGUAUUACUGCGCCGUGGGAGACACGGGGAGAGGAGCCGGGGCUGCGGCCGGACACGAACCGCCGCGGGCGGGGUCGGGUGGGUUUGGGGGGGAGCGGGUGAACAACACCGGUCGGAUCCGCCAGGGAGCGCUGCCGCUCCACCCGCCGGUGCUGCCUUGUCCCGCGGGCUCCGGGGCGGUUCCGUUGCCCGAGCGGCACCGGCACCAGCUUCAGCAUCAACAUCGGCAUCGCCAUUGACAUUUCCGUUGUCACCCCCCGCGGGACGGAGACAGACAUACCCCGUCACAUCACGGUGGAAUCGUGAUCGGAGCAGUGUCGGUGUCCGGUGGUGGCCGGGAAAGAGCGACUGCAGCCGCCGGCCCCGCCGGCUCCCGGCGAGGAGCAGCGACAUUCUGCUCUGCAGAGGGAGGUGGGCAGAGAGAUCCUCCUGCCCACGGGCAACUGCACAGCCCUUGCUCCUGUUGCAAUGACACUCCCAUGGAACACACGGGAGCUCUUCUUGGGCUUUUGGUUUUCCCCAGCAGCACAGCCAAGGGACCCCUGAGCAGGUGCUUUCCUCUGCUCUGUAAACACAGGGACUCCUGUGCUAAAGUGCUAAUGCAAAACUUGACUUAGAAAACAACAAGCAGAAGGGGUUUCAUGUGUUGCUACUUUGUUAAAGCUCAGAUAUGCAAUUUAAAACUGUGUCCUCCAGCUACACACUUUCAGGGAGAUUUCAUACAUUUCCUGUUAGUGUUACAAAGUCAUUGCAUGGAGUUAGGAGCUCAAGCUCCACAUCAACCAGGAACAGGGGAUGUCAAGGUCACAGGCACCUUCAAACACUCCCCACAGUGGCUCAUUAUUGAGACCACAAGCUUGUGUGUCAGGAGUCAGAAGCUUGGCAGCUGAGGCCCAGGAGACAGCACAAAGCUUGCACUGGUCCCACUGACCGCAGCCCCAAGUGAUGCCAGGUUUCUACUUGAAGAGUGAGACAGAAAGACAUCGGCUAAGGUGCCCUGAGCAACUGGAGAUCUGAGGUGAGUGAGAGCUGGCAGGAGGCCUCUGAGAAGAGACUGUGGGCUCCAGCCAGUCCCCAGGGGCAUCUGUAUGGCUCAAGUAGCUGACAGAGCUGUUCACAGCCCAUGGUCAGAGGUUACAGAGGUACAGUGUGAAGGAUCAGCCCUCCUCUCUGUCACAGCUGGACUUUCUAACUGUGUUUCCAGGACAAAUAAGGCAGAGCAACAGACAUGGCCAGUCCAGCACACAGAUCUGCCACAUGCUCACAUGGUAUUUAUUGACCCCUCUUCUCAUUGCCUUCUUCUGCCUUGCCACGCUUGCU